rnacentral:piRNA from 1 species
ACAUGGUGAAGUGCCAGGGCCUCUGU